rnacentral:rRNA from 1 species
AUGUCUUCCUGCCUCACUGAUAUCAUUUCUGACAAUGAGGUGGAUUUCCUUAGUCUACAAGAGACUAUGAAAAAGAACUAUAAACCUGUUUUCUUUAGGAAAAUGGAUCCUAAUGUGGUGUUUAAGUGGAGAUGGAUUCCUUCCACGGGCAAGGCUGGUGGAAUUUUAUGUGGUGUGUGAAUGUACAAGUUUGACAUUGUGGACACGGUGUAUGGUAAAUAUAACCUGCAGAUCAACCUUGUUGAUAAGGUCAAGAAGUGCAGAUGAGUCCCCUUGACUGUCUAUGGGGCAACACAUGAUGAAAAUAAACCAGAAUUUCUAGCUGAAUUGUCCUCUUUUUGUCACAAGAUAUUUUCUCCACACUUAGUUGGUGGAGAUUUUAAUAUGCUUUUCAGAUGUGUUCAUGUUGGGGAAUGUAGUAAUUCAAAAAAAUUUCCUACAAUCAUGCAAGAUCUAUCUAGGAGAUGCAUACAACGAGACUGGAGAGUGUGUCCACGUACCCUCGUAGACCGAAAGCGAAAGCAUUUAGUAACGCGGUUGAUGUAG